GGAAGCUAGUCCUAAACUGCAGAUACGAUUUGAUUAGCUUACCAAGUGUGCACACAAGGAGGCAUGUAAAUGAUGCUAAAGGGUGAAAAACCUUUGGCUGAGCCCAAGGGAGAGCUGUUCAGAGGUACAGAGUCCUCCAGGAAACUCCUGUUUAUAGGAGGGUGAUACUUGUUACAUCUCCUUUAUCUUAAUAUCAUGUUGACUAUUUUAAGAAAAUUAUAUACUAUGUCAAUAAAUCUCAGGUAAGAGGGAAAAAAUUUAAAAUACCUGUCUUAAGUUCUGUAAGAACUUUACUAUCCUGCAUGAUGCAUACAAGUUUAAUAAGUUUUGUGCUACAGCCUUGGAUAGGCAUGGUGUAGGAGCAUCUUUUGCCCCAUGAGCAAAAGCAUGAGGUGGUUGCAUUACAGAAACUGGAACAUCCCCUCUACCAUUGCUUCCCCCAUAUUCUUCCAUUUCCUAGACCUUAAGGUUGAAAGUGAUUAGAGGAGAGGUAGAAGGAAUGGUGCUAAUCUUUUUGGUAAGUAUUUUCCAUUCAUUGUAGUGCUGAAGUGUGAUUAAAAUUUUAAAGCAGGUAGCCGAAGCCUGGCAUUAGUCUCUGUCUGUUGUUCGGUGAUAACAUUUUCCUGGAUUUCUCCCAGACUCAUUAAACGUCAUCAGUCACAGGCAAAUCUAACAAGGGCAUGUUGGAAGAGAACUCUGCUGGACUGAAAUAUUAAGCAGCGAUCGUUCGUGCCACAGACAUGAGCCACUAAUAUUUUUUUGUUAGCCAGUUACAAGGGUGCCUCACAACCUAGAGACACUGCAAUGUACAAUGAAGAGCUCCCCAGCUGAAGCUUGCUGUAUGCCCUGUUGGGGUAAUCUUUGCAGCUCACUCUGCUCUUCACAGUAUACACAUCCCUCCUUCUUUGCAAUGUUUUCAUCCCCAUAAAGGAGCCAAAAGUGACAACCUCUCCUGGUGUUUUCCUUCUGCUGUGCACUUCCACAGAGUCUGAAAAGAAGAGGAGGAAUUUCAGGAGCUGUCCCCUCGAUCAUCUUGUCCUCAGCUGAGGCAGGGAGAAAAAG